rnacentral:rRNA from 2 species
CGCUGUGAAGAUGCAGUGUACCCGCGGCAAGACGGAAAGACCCCGUGAACCUUUACUAUAGCUUGACACUGAACAUUGAGCCUUGAUGUGUAGGAUAGGUGGGAGGCUUUGAAGUGUGGACGCCAGUCUGCAUGGAGCCGACCUUGAAAUACCACCCUUUAAUGUUUGAUGUUCUAACGUGGACCCGUGAUCCGGGUUGCGGACAGUGUCUGGUGGGUAGUUUGACUGGGGCGGUCUCCUCCUAAAGAGUAACGGAGGAGCACGAAGGUUGGCUAAUCCUGGUCGGACAUCAGGAGGUUAGUGCAAUGGCAUAAGCCAGCUUGACUGCGAGCGUGACGGCGCGAGCAGGUGCGAAAGCAGGUCAUAGUGAUCCGGUGGUUCUGAAUGGAAGGGCCAUCGCUCAACGGAUAAAAGGUACUCCGGGGAUAACAGGCUGAUACCGCCCAAGAGUUCAUAUCGACGGCGGUGUUUGGCACCUCGAUGUCGGCUCAUCACAUCCUGGGGCUGAAGUAGGUCCCAAGGGUAUGGCUGUUCGCCAUUUAAAGUGGUACGCGAGCUGGGUUUAGAACGUCGUGAGACAGUUCGGUCCCUAUCUGCCGUGGGCGCUGGAGAACUGAGGGGGGCUGCUCCUAGUACGAGAGGACCGGAGUGGACGCAUCACUGGUGUUCGGGUUGUCAUGCCAAUGGCACUGCCCGGUAGCUAAAUGCGGAAGAGAUAAGUGCUGAAAGCAUCUAAGCACGAAACUUGCCCCGA